CCGGCCUCGGCCCCACCAUGGACUCCAGAACAGUCUGGUUCGUUGCCAUUUGUCUCCUGGAGGUGACCACAAACACUAGGGUCACACAAACCCCCAGAUACCUGCUGGUCCGGCCUGGGGAGAAGGUGACGCUGAGCUGUGAACAGGACCUGAAACACGAUUACAUGUAUUGGUACCGGCAGGACCCGGGCCCGGGGCUGCGGCUGAUCUACCACUCCCAAGACGUUGCACUGCUCGCACCCGGGGACGUGGCCAAGGGCUACAAUGUCUCCCGGUCCGAGACGCGGUCCUUUCCCCUGAUCGUGGAGUCCGCCAGCCCCGACCAGACCUCGGUGUAUCUGUGCGCCAGCAAUAACACACAGUCCCACAAAGCUGCAGGCUUCCUCAUCCAAAACCGCGCCCGCCCCCACCGACCACAGACCCCCGCACCCAUGCCCCUGGGCUCCCUCAGCGCACAGCCCCACGGGGAGGAACCCCCGAGCAGGAGGGGGAGCAGCGGAAGAAUGUAGCUGUUAUUGUUGGGACUGAGUUUUCAUUUCUCAGAAGUGUCCAACCCUCGACUGCAGUGCUACUAAAGCU